rnacentral:sRNA from 1 species
GGAAUACGGAUGCUAAACCUAAUUAAAACUAGAUCCGCAACUCUUAGAACUUGAUCUUAAUUCCGCAGUCCAUCCGAUUGUCACCAGGCAAUAGCUUCGACAACGCCUCUUUUUCUCGAUCUCUCACCAACAAUAACAAAUGACUCAUUCCAUGAACUUAAUGUUAGGAAUAUCCUUUUGGUGUAUAUUUACCAGCAAAGAUCAAAAAGCCUUGUUGAUGGCGGGGAAUACGUAAGGAACUAGCUGUAGUGCAGAAGAAAAGAGGAAUAUCUACGCAGCAAUCAGUGUGACACGUAUCGUAGAAUUUCAGUAUUCAUCCUUCGCAGAUACUGCGGCAAAUGCAAAGGACCAAGCUGUAUUCAUACUCGUAGAAGUAGACCCAAUAAUAUACACGAUCAUUUAAUUCUC